UUGCUUUGGCAGCACAUAUACUAAAAUUGGAACAAUACAGAGAAGAUUAACAAGGCCCCUGCGCAAGGAUGACACGCAAAUUCGUGGAGUGUUCCAUAUUAAA
ensembl:snRNA U6 U6 spliceosomal RNA